CCUUAAUACGGGCCUAAGUGAAUGAGCUGCAGCAGCACGUGCAGCUCAUGAUGGAGAAGAACAAUGCCAAGCAGGAAGUCAUCCUCAAGCUCUCCGAGCAGGUGGCCGCCUGCAUGGCUGACCCCCAGCGUACCGUAGCCAACUCCAUGGGCACAGAGACCUCCUGCAGGCUGCAGGAGAAGAUUGAGCACCUCAAGGACGAUAUAGAGGCGCACAAGAUCCAAAACAAGUUCCUCAACUCUGAAAUCUACCAGCUUACUAAGCUGUGGAGGAACAGUUCAGAAGAGGAGAAGGGCCUCCUGAUGAAGUGUGCCUACCUGGAGGCCAAAAACUGCCAGAUUGAGAGCAAGUACCUGGUCGUGCUGCGCAGGCUGCAGGAGAGCAAAGGGCUGGACAGCUGUCAGCAGGAGAUGGUGAAAAGGCUCAUUGAGGACUCACUGCAGGGAGACAAGAAGGAUGGCUUUAAACUCAACCCUGUCAGUGAGUACGACGACUAUGGAUUCAAGACCAUUCCUGAUUAUGAAGUAGAGGACGUGAAGCUCCUGGCCAAAAUCCAGGCCCUGGAGAUCCGUUCCAACAACCUGCGCAACAAUGAGAUGGAGGACAAGCCUUUGCGGACCAGGUGGGCUAACUACCUGGCCAGCCGUCCCUUGGACCAGCUGGCUCCCUCCCCGGAGCUGAAGGGCCUGAUCCGGUGUGGGAUCCCUGUGGAGUACCGGGAGCAGGUGUGGCGCUGGAUCGUGAGGACACGGAUGCAGGUCUAUAGGAAGCGGAAUCCCAAUCGCUACCAGGAGCUGAGGAAGCACUGCGAGGUGUCGGAGCACCCGGCCUCGUGGCAGAUCAGGCUAGACCUGCACCGCACCCUCACCAGCAAUAAGCACUUCUCCUCGCCCACCUCCGACGCAGUCCAAAAGCUGCAGCGCAUUCUGCUAGACUUCUCCUGGCAAAACCCCACCAUCGGCUACUGCCAGGGCCUCAACCGGUUGGCAGCUAUUGCACUUUUAGUUCUGAAGGAUGAAGAGGAUGCCUUCUGGUGUCUGGUGGCUGUUGUUGAAAUCAUAAUGCCACAAGACUACUACAGCAAAACCCUCACUGCCUCUCAGUUACAGUAUGUACAACAACUGAUUUCAAAUCAGUGAACCCUCUUCUUCCCUCCAGGGACACAAGGACGCAACAAGCCCUUGCCACCUCUCGAUCUUAGGCAACUUUCUCUGCCUCAUUUUCUUUUCCCUUGCGGUAUCCAUUGUAGAGCUACCUUCUGGAUAUGGGUUUGUUCCAUCCUGAGUACGUGGCCUAUACACCUCAGUCUUCUUCUUUUUGUAUCUGUGAUGAUUUGGUCUUCUCGUGGAGGUCUUUAUUUGAGAUUUUGUUUGACCAGUUUUUGCCUAUUUUCCAAAGGCACCUGUUAUGGAAAUUGGCUAAUUUGUCCAUGUCUCUCCGUUAUUACUAAGAAAAUGUUAAAAUAUUUGUGACAUUGCUCGUCAGCCUAUAGCUGAGUUUUAAUGCUAUCCCCUUUGCUUCACCAGUAAGAACUGUGGAUGUGCUAAUUCAGGCAGUCAUAGUCCCUAUUUGUUCUAACAGCUGAGCAACUCCUGCUGCUCUAAGCAGAGCUCUUUGUUCCUUGCAGGCUGAUCAGAGGGUGUUCCGUGACUUUCUUGCUGAGAAGAUGCCUCGACUGAUGGCCCACUUCAAGGAGCACAGCAUCGAUCAUUCCCUCAUCACCUUCAACUGGUUCCUGGUGGUCUUCGUGGAAAGUCUGGUCAGCGACAUCCUGCUCAGAGUGUGGGACGCUUUCCUCUAUGAGGGCACAAAGGUGAUAUUUCGCUAUGCACUGGCCCUCUUUAAGUACAAUGAAGAGGACAUUCUAAAAAUUCACGACAAUCUGGAAAUCUACCAAUACCUCAGUUUUUUCACCAGAACUAUCUCUGAUGGCAGCUGCUGAAGAACAGACGAGAGUUUCACAUGGAGAGGCUGACAGCCGAGCUGCAGGAGCUGGAGAGGAUACAGGAGGAGUUUGUGAAAGAACAACAAGUGGAGCGCAAAGACAAGGACCUGGACACUGCUGUCAGCGAAGACGAAGAAGAAACUAAUGAACAUAGCAUUUAAUGAUAUGAAUCCCUUCCCUAUGAAGCUGCUGAAGAACAGACGAGAGCUUCACAUGGGGAGGCUGACAGCCGAGCUGCAGGAGCUGCAGAGGAUACAGGAGGAGUUUGUGAAAGAACAACAAGUGGAGCGCAAAGACAAUGACCUGGACACUGCUGUCAGCGAAGACGAAGAAGUAAUACAGACUGCAGUUAGCUUGCAUCACACGUCCUGAAGUUAUUGAAAAAUUACACAUCACUGAUACUAUUUAAACUAAUUUGUUUGCCUUAUUAUUCCCUGCUGUGGAAUAUAGUGGGGCUUACAUAUUGUGUAUGUCACACAUACAUCUAACUGUUAUCCUUUGUCUGUUGUUGAGUAUAUAGGUAUGUCAGACUUACAUUUUUACAUGUACAGUUCGGCUCUUAUUUUGUAAUGGCGUGUGAUGUACCGACAUACUUGUUUUAGAGUCAACAAAUUAAGUUUACCAAACCUGUCAAAAUGCAGAAUAUUAAUGGAAAUAGGUGUGUUGGUAAUACACACACACUACAUCUCUGAAUGCUUGACUUCAAAUCCAGUUUAAGUCCCACAUGAAAGGAGUAUGGUGGUCCUAAGCCCUCGGCUUCCACAUCACAAAACCAACACACAGUGCAGCACAAUUGGCACAAAGGAUAAACCUGUUUCUUAUCUCAUAAAACAGCCUUUUACUAUAAUUAUCAUCUGUCAGUCUCUGAAUUUCUUCAAUCACCAAUUCCAUUCCACUCAGAUCAGUUCAGUAAAUUAAUUAUUUUGUAGUUUCCCAAGAAAACAAAAACUCAUUGGAGAUCUUGAAAAUUAAUGUCUUGAAAUGUGAUUAAUUUAGGCCAGGCUAAUCUGAACAAGUACAGAUAUUCCAGUUACUUUUCAGACCGGCAACCAGGUUCCAGAUUUUCUAAACGAGACUAUCUCUGAAAUAAACUUAUUUUUUAUGCAUUGGUUGUUUGUUUAUAUUCCUGUAAAUUGCAUAGUUCAGUUAUUGCUAAGUUAAGAGGAAGACGUUGCUUUGUUUAAUUAUGUUAAAUUGUAUGGCAAUCCUUCAUGAUUUGCAUGAAUUCACUUAGGUUUAGAGGUACAGUUUUAAUUCAUGUACCUCUGAUAAACCUAAACUAAGUGACGAAAGCAAAAACACAAACGUUUUUUACUUGAGCUUGAAAAGGAAAAAAUAGAAUGAAUACAGUGCUAUAUAUACUGUGUAUAUAUAUAUAUAUAUAUAUAUAUAUAUAUAUAUAUAUAUAUAUAAUUGAUCGCUACAUAUAGAUUUUUCAACGCUGGUAAAAUGUUUAAUUCAGUAAUGAUUUUAAAAAUGUUUACUUUUUAAUUUUUUAGGGAUGCAAGACAUGUAACAACUUUGUGUCUAAAGUUUUUAAAUGCCAACUGUUAAAUAAAUAGAAUUAUGGAUAUUAAUGUGUUGAUAGUAGGGAUAGCUUUUGUGACUGGAGCAUGGCUGCAUUGUCUAUUGCGCUGAAUUUUAACCAAUUUUAACAAAUUGUUCCCAUCAUUCUUAUUUUUUAUUUUAGCUUUUCUCUUCAAAUAUUUUUUAGAAAACAAAAAAGCACAAACAAAAUCUCAGCGCGUUUCGUCUUAUUCAUGAGUAGACUUAAUUUGAUACAGAGGAACACCCCUUUUUUAUACACUCAAUUUUCCACAGGUGAUUAAUCACCUUUUAAGAGAUGGCUCAGCUGACAAACAACUCUUGAGAAGGGAAACUUUUGUGAUAUUAUUUUUAAUUCUGUUCCACCACAUGGCCUUAAUGAAGACUUUAAAUAUGGGUAUUUUUUGUAGAAUGUAUGUUUGUAUGUAUACAGUAUAUACCUCUGUUCAUUAUUCAAGUUGCAGAGUAAAAAGAAAAAAAGUAACUUAGUAAAAGAAUAUUUAGUGGUAUGAAAAGUUUUGUGUUGACGUACAGAUUGAGUGUUUAAAAUAAUUUAAAAAGUAUGGUCUUCUGCCUUCUGUUGUCAUUUCUGUACCUAAUUACUUAUUAAUUUCAGUUGUUUUUGAUUGUUCUGAUUGUCAAUUGAAGGUUUGUGACGUAAAGGUGAUUAAUCGCCUGUGGAGAAUUGAGUGUAAAAAAAAGGGGUGUUCCUCUGUAUCAAAUUAAGUUUACUCAUGAUUAAGACUCUGUCGAAACACGUUGAGAUUUAGUUUGUGCUUUUUUUGUUUACUAAAAAAUGUGAAGAGAAAAGCUAAAAUAAAAAAAUAAGAAUAAUGGAAAAAUGUGGUAAAAUAAAUUAUUUUUGUGAAGAAUGGGUUGUCUUUUUCACUCGAAUCACUGUAUAAGGGCCUGUUGGCAACCAAUACAAGCUGCCUUUAUUUUCUCAGGUGUUGCCAGGUUGAUUACCUGGUCAAAGACUAAACACAUACAUGUAAAACAUUUAGAACAUAUUUGUAUUCUGUAUUUGUAUAUUAUGAUAUUUGAUUGGUUUUUUUAUGUACAUAUUAUUGCACAAUAGGGAGAAUUAAUGAGAACAUUUCUAAUAUUUAGGCGUUCAUUUUUGUAUUGCUGUUUUAUAAUGUGAUGGCAAUCUGAACUAUAGUCAAAGUCUCUCAAAGUGAAUUAUUAUUAUUUUAGGAAAGUAUUACGGCACAAGCACUUAUAUAUUACCAGUGUCACUCUCCUCACAAGGUUAAACUGUGAAACCCAGAACAUACUUUAACUGGCUGAGAUGAGCCCUUUUCAAGGCAUUUUCUCUGCUGUAUAAUAUAACACAACUUGUUUUUUGAUGAAAUGGUGUGCAUUUUUUGCAUCCUUUGUGUAAGGUAUUUGAACUGAAAAACAUCAAAUACUGGUAUUAUCAUUGUGUUGUUUUAGAUUUGUUGAACAAAAUCUUAUUCUACUGAAAAUAUUUCUCUUUUGUUUCUAUAAAGGUUUAUAUAAAUACAGUAAUAACAUUUGCUGACACUGCAGUGGAGAAACACUUCAUUUAUUAAUUUGUCCCACAGCAAAUUCAGAAAAGAUUGUUCUACAACAGUGUUAAUACCUCCCUUUAGUUUACUGAUAAUAAAUGUUA